ACAGAGAGAAACAGAGAGAGAGAGAGUGUGUGUGUGAGGGAGAGUGUGUUUUGUCACGGUGCUGACUUUUGCCCGUCGCCUGCAGCAAAAGCCUCUAUCCCGUCCUCUGGCUGGGCAGAGUACUGUAGGACUUUAGUCACUUCGGUGUAACAAGGGCCUUGCCGUGCGGCCCCACCAACCCUUCUAUGUAUUCGUAAUGGCCCUUCGCGUGAGUUGGGUUUUUCCUUCGUUCACGUUGUCACUCCCUUAUUUUCCGGUCGGGGCCUUGGAUAGAUUAGUACUUUAUUACGUUAUGUUUAUAGACUCUUCCUAUACUCCCUAACCUCGUGUCCUCUUCUCUUUAUAUAUCAAUACCUAAUAACAGUAGUCUAGUAUGAGGCCUUGGAUAGAUUAGUACUUUAUUACUUUAUGUUUAUAGACUCUUCCUAUACUCCCUAACCUCGUGUCCUCUUCUCUUUAUAUAUCAAUACCUAAUAACAGUAGUCUAGUAUGAGGCCUUGGAUAGAUUAGUACUUUAUUACUUUAUGUUUAUAGACUCUUCCUAUACUCCCUAACCUCGUGUCCUCUUCUCUUUAUAUAUCAAUACCUAAUAACUCAUCUUCUGGUAGUUAUUAUGCUCGUCAGCUAGUGGUCACUAUGUUUAUAGACUCUUCCUAUACUCCCUAACCUCGUGUCCUCUUCUCUUUAUAUAUCAAUACCUAAUAACUCAUCUUCUGGUAGUUAUUAUGCUGGUCAGCUAGUGGUCACUGGGAAACUAGUAUUGUUAUAUGUAUUUGACUUUUCCAAAGAUAUAAUAUUGUCCACACAAUGAAAUAUUCUUUAGUGCAAUCCCUUUAACCUAUAACCAGGGUCACUUUCUGUUCCGUGAGAGUGUCAGAGGCGUUUGCUCUCCAGAUCGUUAAUCUGGCCUCGUUGUCAAAGUUUCAAGCUUUUAUUAAGUCAAUAUUUUUUUGGUCUUUAUACACGUUAUUACAAUUCAAUGGUUCUACAGAACCAAUACAUCAAUAAUGCUCAAUCAAUCCUUAAUGCACUAUGCUAUGCCACGUAAUAUUUUUAAAAAGCUCAACACAAUUCUUUAUGACUCUUUAAACAAAGCAAACACCCAUAUAUUUACCUUGACGCUCUGUUCCCUUGGUCCUUCCCGAAACUGGUCUCUAUAAGAGUAAUAAUAUUGUUGCAGCCUUCUGCUGUUUAUAUACCACUAUAAUCUUCUUAUUUAGUCUGAAUUUCCAAUGGUUUUUACUGUCUACUGUUUAGAUAUUGAUUCCUUCUUAUCGACCUUUGGCUGCUACGAGGCGUUAACUAUUCCUGGGCUUUUUCACUCUUUCCGAGCUGCGAUUGUUACAGACACACCAAAGAUGGACCGUUGUUGCUAUCAAGAGUUCUCCACACCUCGCAUUGUUGAGGGGCGAAGUUCUCUCGUGCACAAUCUAGUUCACUUAUUCUUUUUAUCGAGAUGCGUAGUACAACACAAUUCUUUAAGAAAUACCAGUCUAUAGUUUUGCUCGCGCCUUGAGAUCAAAGUACAAUACAAACAGAGUAUAGUAAAAGUAAUUUACCUGGUGUGAUGAUUCUCUAUGACGUCCAAAUCAUAUGGGUAGAGGAUCAUGCCGAGGCACUGAUCUCUCCUCCUUCUUAUACCUCUUCUAGACACUCAGUUUGGGGAAAGAUGUUCAGGAGUGCAAUCUAUCUCAACACAGAGUGCCAUUGCAUUACAUAUGGUAGCACUUAGUCCAAAGUUAGGUCCUCUAGCACUGAUGCCCAUAGGUAUUCUUCCGUUGGGGCGUCGUCUUGAUAGGUCGGUUCAUAACACGCCUCCUCAGUCUUCCUAUAGGUCGGUUCAUAACACGCCUCCUCAGUCUUCCUAUAGGUCGGUUCAUAACACGCCUCCUCAGUCUUCCUAUAGGUCGGUUCAUAACACGCCUCCUCAGUCUUCCUAUAGGUCAGUUCAUAACACGACUCCUCAGUCUUCCUAUAGGUCGGUUCAUAACACGCCUCCUCAGUCUUCCUAUAGGUCAGUUCAUAACACGACUCCUCAGUCUUCCUAUAGGUCGGUUCAUAACACGCCUCCUCAGUCUUCCUAUAGGUCAGUUCAUAACACGACUCCUCAGUCUUCCUAUAGGUUGGUUCUUGUUUAAUUCCCAGUACUUGUAUUUCCCAUGCAUUUGGCUCCCUCUGCUGGUGACCUGCUGUUGUGGCGAUUUCUUCUUUAAUCCCGCAGUCAACAGAUGGCCUUAGAGUCCAUGAAUGUGGCCCUGGAACUAGACCGGCCACUGAGGGAGGGGUCCGAUAUUUAUUGCCUUUUGCCACAGUGUGAAGGAGAGUGUGUGUGUAUGUGUGUGAGACAGAGAGAAACAGAGAGAGAGUG